rnacentral:tRNA from 1 species
GCCGCGAUAGUUUACAAAAACAUUAGCCUGUGGAACUAAAAAUGGAACACAAACUUCCCCGCAGCU